GAGUAAUUUGUAGAAGGUGCUUCGGAUUUGAUAAUGGUCCAAGUUCCUUGGAAUUGGACAUCAGAGAGGGUGAUAAUCCCGUUUCGACCAAUUAUCUAUCCAUGUGAAGCCCUUUCGACGAGUCGAGUUGUUUGGGAAUGCAGCUCAAAAUGGGUGGUAAAUUUCAUCUAAAGCUAAAUAUCAGUCAGAGACCGAUAGCGCACAAGUAGAGUGAUCGAAAGAUGAAAAGCACUUUGAAAAGAGAGUCAAAAAGCACGUGAAAUUGUUGAAAGGGAAGCGCUUGCAACCAGACUUGCUCGUAGUGUUCAGCCUCCUGAAAAGGUGGUGCACUCUCUGCGGGCGGGCCAACAUCGGUUUCAGCGGUCGGACAAAAGCUCGAGGAAAGUAGCUCUCUUCGGAGAGUGUUAUAGCCUCUUGCAUAAUGCGGCCAGUUGAGACCGAGGAUAUAUGCGAACCCUUCCGCGUAAUGAAAGUGAACGUAGGUGGGAGCCUUUUUGGCGCACCAUCGACCGAUCUGAGUUCGCAAGGAUUUGAGUAGGAGUGUGAUUUCCCGGACCCGAAAGGUCAGUCUAAUAAUCUCCCAUAUACCAAAUCCACUGAAAUGAAUUUGAUUGCUAACUUUUUCUACAGAAGGUGAACUAUUGCUGACUAGGGCGAAGCCAGAGGAAACUCUGGUGGAGGCUCGCAGCGGUUCUGACGUGCAAAUCGAUCGUCAAAGCUGGCAAUAGGGGCGAAAGACUAAUCGAACCUUCUAGUAGCUGGUUCCUGUCGAAGUUUCCCUCAGGAUAGCAGCAACGAAAACAGUCUCAUGAGGUAGAGCAACGAUUAGAGGCCUUGGGGUUGAAACAACCUUAACCUAUUCUCGAACUCCGAAUAUGUGAGAUGUCCUUGUUACUUAAUUGAA
rnacentral:rRNA from 1 species